GACGUAGGGCGCGAGCGUUGUCCGGAUUUAUUGGGCGUAAAGAGCUCGUAGGCGGCUUGUCGCGUCGUCCGUGAAAACCUGCAGCUCAACUGCAGGCUUGCGGUCGAUACGGGCAGGCUAGAGUUCGGUAGGGGAGACUGGAAUUCCUGGUGUAGCGGUGAAAUGCGCAGAUAUCAGGAGGAACACCGGUGGCGAAGGCGGGUCUCUGGACAGUUCCUGACACUGAGACACGAAGGCCAGGGGAGCAAACGGG
rnacentral:rRNA from 1 species